rnacentral:rRNA from 1 species
GAUGAACGCUAGCUACAGGCUUAACACAUGCAAGUCGAGGGGAAACGACAUCGAAAGCUUGCUUUUGAUGGGCGUCGACCGGCGCACGGGUGAGUAACGCGUAUCCAACCUGCCCAUCACUUGGGGAUAACCUUGCGAAAGUAAGACUAAUACUCAAUGACGUCUCUAGAAGACAUCUGAAAGAGAUUAAAGAUUUAUCGGUGAUGGAUGGGGAUGCGUCUGAUUAGCUUGUUGGCGGGGUAACGGCCCACCAAGGCGACGAUCAGUAGGGGUUCUGAGAGGAAGGUCCCCCACAUUGGAACUGAGACACGGUCCAAACUCCUACGGGAGGCAGCAGUGAGGAAUAUUGGUCAAUGGGCGAGAGCCUGAACCAGCCAAGUAGCGUGCAGGAUGACGGCCCUAUGGGUUGUAAACUGCUUUUAUAAGGGAAUAAAGUGAGUCUCGUGAGACUUUUUGCAUGUACCUUAUGAAUAAGGACCGGCUAAUUCCGUGCCAGCCGCCGCAGUAA